GGGGUGAAGUCGUAACAAGGUAGCCGUAUCGGAAGGUGCGGCUGGAUCACCUCCUUUCUAAGGAUAUUAUACGGAAUAUAAGACCUUGGGUCUUAUAAACAGAACGUUCCCUGUCUUGUUUAGUUUUGAAGGAUCAUUCCUUCGAAACGUGCUCUUUGAAAACUAGAUAACAGUAGACAUCACAUUCAAGUAAUACAAGAUAUCACAUAGUGAUUCUUUUUAACGGUUAAGUUAGAAAGGGCGCACGGUGGAUGCCUUGGCACUAGGAGCCGAUGAAGGACGGGACGAACACCGAUAUGCUUCGGGGAGCUGUAAGCAAGCUUUGAUCCGGAGAUUUCCGAAUGGGGAAACCCACCACUCGUAAUGGAGUGGUAUCCAUAUCUGAAUUCAUAGGAUAUGAGAAGGCAGACCCGGGGAACUGAAACAUCUAAGUACC
rnacentral:misc_RNA from 1 species